rnacentral:rRNA from 1 species
GAUGAACGCUGGCGGCGUGCCUAAUACAUGCAAGUCGAGCGAACGGACGAGAAGCUUGCUUCUCUGAUGUUAGCGGCGGACGGGUGAGUAACACGUGGAUAACCUACCUAUAAGACUGGGAUAACUUCGGGAAACCGGAGCUAAUACCGGAUAAUAUUUUGAACCGCAUGGUUCAAAAGUGAAAGACGGUCUUGCGGUCACUUAUAGAUGGAUCCGCGCUGCAUUAGCUAGUUGGUAAGGUAACGGCUUACCAAGGCAACGAUGCAUAGCCGACCUGAGAGGGUGAUCGGCCACACUGGAGCUGAGACACGGUCCAGACUCCUGCGGGAGGCAGCAGUAGGGAAUCUUCCGCAAUGGGCGAAAGCCUGACGGAGCAACGCCGCGUGAGUUAUGAAGGUCUUCGGAUCGUAAAACUCUGUUAUUAGGGAAGAACAUAUGUGUAAGUAACUGUGCACAUCUUGACGGUACCUAAUCAGAAAGCCACGGCUAACUACGUG